UCCGGCUUAUCACCGGCAGUUUCUUUAGAGUGCUCAACUAAAUGGUAGCAACUAAAGACGAGGGUUGCGCUCGUUGCGGGACUUAACCCAACAUCUCACGACACGAGCUGACGACAGCCAUGCAGCACCUGUGUGAAGGUUCCCUUUCGGGCACUCCCAAAUCUCCCCGGGAUUCCUUCCAUGUCAAGGGUAGGUAAGGUUUUUCGCGUUGCAUCGAAUUAAUCCACAUCAUCCACCGCUUGUGCGGGUCCCCGUCAAUUCUUUUGAGUUUUAGCCUUGCGGCCGUACUCCCCAGGCGGGGCGCUUAAUGCGUUAGCUGCGGCACGGAACGGGUUGGUAGCCGCCCCACACCUAGCACCCAACGUUUACGGCUGGGACUAC
rnacentral:misc_RNA from 1 species